rnacentral:rRNA from 1 species
UACGAAGGGUGCAAGCGUUAAUCGGGAUUACUGGGCGUAAAGCGCGCGUAGGUGGUUCAGCAAGUUGGAUGUGAAAUCCCCGGGCUCAACCUGGGAACUGCAUCCAAAACUACUGAGCUAGAGUACGGUAGAGGGUGGUGGAAUUUCCUGUGUAGCGGUGAAAUGCGUAGAUAUAGGAAGGAACACCAGUGGCGAAGGCGACCACCUGGACUGAUACUGACACUGAGGUGCGAAAGCGUGGGGAGCAAACAGG